rnacentral:lncRNA from 1 species
AAGGAGAGAGAGAGAGACAAAGGGAGACAGACAGAGACAGGGGGAGGGGAGGGGAGGGGAGGAAAGAGGAGAGGAGAGGAAGGGAAGUAAGGGAGGUGUAGCUCACCCUGGAAUUGAACUCACUAUGUAGCCCAGGCUGGCCUUGAAAUCACAGUGACCCUCCUGCCUCAGCCUCCUGAGUGCUGGCAUUACAGGUGUAUGCUACCACAUCCCCCUUGUUUUGCUCUGGGCUGUAAGAUGGCUGAGGUGGUGAAGGGGCCACAAGUUGAACAAUACAAGUGAGCUCUAGAAACUAAAAAAGAUGACAACUAGAUGCUCCCCUAGAGUUUCCAGAAGGAAUGUAACCCUCACGCAUUUUGAUUUUAGAGGUCUGAUUUCCAUAUCGUGAAUAAAAUACAUUUGUACUUUUUAAACCACUAACUUGAUACUAAUUUGUUACAGCAGUGAUACUCCAUAAAUAAUUUUUUUCUCAUCUUAUUCUCUUGUUUUCUUCUUGAUUCUUUUUUUUUUUUUUCUUUUUUGAGACAGGCUCUCACUGUACAGUUCAGGCCCAUCUUGAACUCACUUUGUAGCCCAGGCUGGCUGUGAACUCACAAUGAUCCUCCUGCCUCAGCCUCCUGAGUGCUGGGAUUACACAUAUGCACCACCACGUCCGGCUCUUGAUUAAUUUCUUGCGCUCCCCAUAUCCUCCCUGAGACCCAAAGCAGUCCUCCAACCUUCAGCGUGGCCCCCUUCCGGUUGAGAAUGAAGUUCAGAAACUCAGGAGAGUGUCUCUGGACCGAGGAUGCUUAGUCCUGAGGUAGUAGGAGGCCAGACCCCGCAACAUGGCUGAGCAGCGCACCUACAAACCCAGGAGACUCCUGACCACGGCCGCAGAGCAGCCGCACCCAAGGCUGACGAGGGGUCACACUGAGCCCAGCACAGGAAAACCCCAGCGAGGCAGAGGAUGGCAACCACCACAGGCCAUGAGCAGCAGUAAGAAGUCACCAUGCAGCGGUGGCUCCCUUGCCUCUGUGUGCAGCACGCCAGCAGGGAGAAGGAGCAAUGUGUUUCUCAGGUUUCCUGUCAGGACAUCCUGGUUUGAGACACAGGACUGUCACUGUCAAAAUAAAAGCUAACUGACAGACAGGAAACUGCCUGGUCACGUCCUUGAGAAUCCCAGAACUCUGUCAGCUUGCAAAAUACUGGGUAAAAGUAAGUAUGGAAAUCCUGUGUUCCAAUGAAUGACAAAUAGUUUUUCUUCCAGGCAAAGAGGAGCUUAGGAACACAGGGGCAGGAAGUGGUUCCAGGAAUCUGGCCUGGGGUAGGCUCCAUGCACAGACGCCAGGCAGCAGGUUUGGAGGAUCUUUGUCAUAAGGAUGUGGCCAACUCAGGGUACAAGGUUACUACAUAAGCGGCAGACCCCGUUCUGAUUGUGACUCUGAAGGUUACUUGUUAGUUCCCCAAUGCUUUUGGGCCCCGCAUGCCUCACCACCUGGCACUGUGCAGUAUAAGCAGUCUUGGGAGUGUGGGGGAAUGUGAAGGGGAAGCCAUGAAAAACAGGGUGUAGGCUAGGGCCCUGCACUUUGGGCAUGAUAGUCACGGCAAGUUUAGGAUCAGACAGAAUGUUCAUCUGUUCAUUAAUUAGUAUUAUUAUUAUUUGUUGUUGUUGUUUUGAGACAGUCUUGCUUUGUAGUUCAGGCUGACUUGAACUCACAAUGUAACCCAGGCUGGCCUUGAACUUGUGGCAAUCCUCCUGCCUCAGCCCCUCAGGUGGUGGGAUUACAGCCAUAUCUCACCACGCCCAGCUUCCAUUCAUUAAUUCAUUCAUUCACU